UCCAGAAAAAAGCAAUAUAUUACCUUCUGAAAAAAAAGUCACAUAGAAACAAUUUUGUGUAUAUUUCAGUGACAACCCCAAAUGCUUGCCGGUUGAUCUGAAAACCACAAUAUGCACUGGACUUAUAAAGUCUCUUUGUGCUUACACUUAGACAAACUUACCCUUAGACAACCAAAUAAGCAUAGACAAUCAAACCAGUAGAUCAGAGAAAUCUAAUAUUUGGAGUUCAGAAUUAAGAUUGAAGAAACAGUACCCAGAUUAUUAGAUAUCAAAUAUGAAGGGUGAAGCUUGAAUCAGAUGUGAAGGGUGAAGCUUGGAUCAGAACUCUGGAGAAUGGAGUGGAAGGCGGAGGCGCAGUGGGUGGGUGUUGUCUGAUUAGGAUUAGGUUUAGUGAUUCAGAGGACCGACGAGCUUUAACAUUUACAUAUGCUACUUAUGUAUUAUUUUAUUAUUAUUAUUAUUAUUAAGUAUAAAUAUUAUUAAUAUUAUAUAUAAAUAUAAUUUAAAAAUAUAUAUAAAAAAAACUUCGGUUAUUUCGGUUAAACCGAAAUUAUACUUUUCAGAAACCG
rnacentral:lncRNA from 1 species